ACAAUAACAACGAAGAAAUGACUGGGAUGUGGGUACUAGUGGAAUUGGGGGGAGGAGGGUGAAUAAGGUCAAAAUCUGUGAUGUAUAGAGUCAUGAAGCUUGUCAUGUGUGAAAAUGGAACUGUGAAGUUUGUUGGGAUUGCUUGGGAGUGGGGGCGGGGGUGAAGUAGAGUGAGAACAGUAUACACAGACGACAUGUCAGAAUUAAAUCCCUUAGUACAACUAAUUGAUGCUAAUUUAGGAAAAAACAAAGAACUGACAAUUCCAGUAUUAGCAGGAAGUCAAUGCAGUUAUCUACCUGUGUCCAACAAGACAAGAAUUCAGGCAAGUUUCCACACACAGUGAACAUGGUAGAAAAGAAAUAUGGCAGAGGAAAGUGAUUUUUAUGUGGCUGAUACCAUAGGAAAAUGGUGUCCCAGUUCAUCUUUGGUCAUCUUCCAGGUACACAUGAGUGUUGGGUUUAAAUCGAGGCAGGCAAAGGCAUGGUUCCAGUUACCAGAGUGAUUUGAUCAGUCACCACCUCAGUUCUGGUUCUCCCGGUGCUAAUGCUGUCACCUCUUGAGGGAGUAAGUAAUCUGUUCCCCUGGAGAUGACUCCGCUGGCUCCAGGAUGCAGUCUGAUCACUACAGUUUUUCUCACACUGAGCCAGCCUUUUCCCAGGUGGCAGAAAUAUGAUCACUGAUAUCUCAAGCUUUACAUCUCAAUCCCUUCAUAAGAUGAGACUUCCUCACAUGCUGUACACUACUCUCCAACCAGUGAACGAACCAAAGAAUACCUGUGGAUACAGCGAUCAGAACAGUUGGGUUUGGUUACCCAUCUGUGGAGUACUCUACCCUUUCUUGUAAUUUUAAUGAACAGAAGAAAGGUUUCAGAAAAAUGAAUAGCUUUCUUCAGAAAGAAUAAUAAAUAUCUCCCACAUUA